UCAACGGGGUUCCGGACCGCGCUGCGCUAUGGAGCAGGUCAAUGAGCUGAAGGAGAAAGGCAACAAGGCCCUGAGCGUGGGUAACAUCGAUGAUGCCUUACAGUGCUACUCCGAAGCUAUUAAGCUGGAUCCCCACAACCACGUGCUGUACAGCAACCGUUCUGCUGCCUAUGCCAAGAAAGGAGACUACCAGAAGGCUUACGAGGAUGGCUGCAAGACUGUCGACCUAAAGCCUGACUGGGGCAAGGUCAGCUGUGGGCAGUGGAGGGAGAGAGGCCCUUCAGACCCUUCCAGAAAUGCCUUUUGGUGGCCUGAGGUUUACCUGUCCUGAUACACUGAUAGUUACCUACCCACCUCCCUGUUUGAGUAUCCUCCUCAGAAAUGGCAUUUUUCAUCAAA
rnacentral:sRNA from 1 species